rnacentral:rRNA from 1 species
CCGGCACGGGUGAGUAACACGUAUCCAACCUGCCGUCUACUCUUGGCCAGCCUUCUGAAAGGAAGAUUAAUCCAGGAUGGCAUCAUGAGUUCACAUGUCCGCAUGAUUAAAGGUAUUUUCCGGUAGACGAUGGGGAUGCGUUCCAUUAGGCAGUUGGUGGGGUAACGGCCCACCAAACCUUCGAUGGAUAGGGGUUCUGAGAGGAAGGUCCCCCACAUUGGAACUGAGACACGGUCCAA